CCGGGNUGUGGACGCUUUCUUCUCUACUUUCGCCGNAUGGGCGCGGGGCAACCCCUCGCGUCUUCAUGCGCCCCUUCGUGUAGAAAGUCUUUGAACGUUUUUACUAUCAUCGAGUCGCGACUUCUAGGAGACGCGUCUCUUUGAGACAAAAGUUAUCACAACUUUCAGCAAUGGAUCUCUUGGCUCUCGCAUCGAUGAAGAACGCAGCGAAUCGCGAUAUGUAAUGUGAAUUGCAGAUCUACAGUGAAUCAUCGAAUCUUUGAACGCACCUUGCGCUCCUCGGUGUUCCGAGGAGCAUGCCUGUUUGAGCGUCAGUAAAUUCUCAACCCCUCUCGAUUUACUUCGAGCGGGCGCUUGGAURUUGGGGGCUUGCCAGAGACCUUCAUGGACUCGGGCUCCCCUUAAAUGCAUCGGCUUGCGGUCGACUUUCGACUUUGCGCGACAAGGCCUUCGGCGUGAUAAUGAUCGCCGUCGACCGAAGCGCAUGAAUGAACCCGUCCCGCGCCUCUAAUCCGUCGA
rnacentral:rRNA from 1 species